rnacentral:rRNA from 1 species
GCGUAAAUAACUUGCCUCAGAGAUUGGGACAACAUUGGGAAACCAGUGCUAAUACCAAAUAAUGCAGCGGGCUCUUCGGAGCAUUGUUGUUAAAGUAGGCUUCGGCUUACACUUUGAGAUAGGUUUGCGUCCGAUUAGUUUGUUGGUGGGGUAAUUGCCUACCAAGACUAAGAUCGGUAGCUGGUCUGAGAGGAUGAUCAGCCACACUGGAAUUGAGAUACGGUCCAGACUCCUACGGGAGGCAGCAGUAAGGAAUUUUGCACAAUGGGCGAAAGCCUGAUGCAGCAACGCCGCGUGAAC